CCUACUGGAGGCAGCAGUGGGGAAUAUUGCACAAUGGGGGAAACCCUGAUGCAGCAACGCCGCGUGAGUGAAGAAGUAUUUCGGUAUUUAAAGCUCUAUCAGCAGGGAAGAAGAUGACGGUACCUGAAUAAGAAGCCCCGGCUCACUACGUACCAGCAGCCGCGGUAAUACGUAGGGGGCAAGCGUUAUCCGGAUUUACUGGGGGUAAAGGGAGCGCAGACGGCAGUGGAAGUCUGGAGGGAAAGCCCGGGGCCCAACCCCGGAACUGCGCUGGAAACUGGGCGGCUAGAGUAUUGGAGGGGCAGGCGGAAUUCAUGGUGUAGCGGUGAAAUGCGUAGAUAUUAGGAGGAACACCAGUGGCGAAGGCGGCCUGCUGGACAGUAACUGACGUUGAGGCUCGAAAGCGUGGGGAGCAAACAGGAUUAGAUACCCGAGUAGUC
rnacentral:rRNA from 1 species